ensembl:scaRNA
CUGGUCUGGAGAACGGCUCCUGUGUUGUUGAACCUGCCCGGCGGCGGGUGCAGCCCUGUACCAGGCAGCCCGACCCUGACCUACAGCAAAUUCCCAGGAGGACUGUUUCCUGGGCUCUGAAUUUGCAGUAACAGGUGUGAACAUUCUAGCAGCAUUGUGAUGAUCAUGUAUGAUACUGCAAACAGGA